AUAUUUAAUAAUAAAAUUAUAAACUGGAACAAUACAAAAAAGAUUAGCAUGGCGCCUGUGCAAGGAUGACACCCAUAAAUCGAGAUAUUGUCCAAAUUUUU
rnacentral:snRNA from 1 species